rnacentral:snRNA from 1 species
GUGCUCACUUCGGCAGCACAUAUACUAAAAUUGGAACGAUACAGAGAAGAUUAGCAUGGCCCCUGUGCAAAGAAUGACACGCAAAUUCUUGAAGAGUUCCAUAUUUUU